GCGCCCGUAGCUCAACGGAGAGAGUACGAGCUUGCGGAGCUUGUGAUCGAGGUUCGAUUCCUCGCGGGCGCA
rnacentral:tRNA from 1 species